GACAGAGGCCCCAAGCGUUAGGCGGAAUCACUGGGCUUAAAGCGUGUGUAGGCGGAUCGUUAAGUGUCUUGUGAAAUCCCACGGCUCACCCGUGGAACUGCUGGGCAUACUGGCGAUCUUGGGCCAACUAGGGGCAGUCGGAACAAGCGGUGGGAGCGGAUGAAUGUCGUUGAUAUCGAUGAGGAACUCCGGUGGCGAAGGCGGCAUACUGGACCACAUCUGACGCUGAGGCGCGAAAGCCAGGGGAGCGAACGGG
rnacentral:rRNA from 1 species